rnacentral:rRNA from 1 species
UACGUAGGUCGCAAGCGUUGUCCGGAUUUACUGGGCGUAAAGAGCGCGCAGGCGGCUGGUCAAGUCCGAUGUGAAAUCUCCCGGCUCAACUGGGAAACUGCAUCGGAAACUGAUCGGCUUGAAGAUGGGAGAGGGUAGUGGAAUUCCCGGUGUAGUGGUGAAAUGCGUAGAUAUCGGGAGGAACACCAGUGGCGAAGGCGACUACCUGGACCAGCACUGACACUGAGGCACGAAAGCGUGGGGAGCAAACAGG